GGAAAAAAAAGAGCGAAGGGUCUCAGCCUCAGGCCCAAAGCCCCCGACCCUCAUCCCUCGAUUCCUCUCCCUCUCCCUCGUCUGCAGCCGCCGCCGCCGCCACCAGCGUCCUCCCCUGCAGCUGGCGCCCCCCAACCCUUCUCUCCUUCCCUCACCUGCGCCCUCGUCCACCUGGGCCUCGUGGUCGGCCAUGGAGGUCUGAUCCGACCCAUGGAUGGAUGGGGGCGAAACCCUAGCCCCACACCCACCCAUGGAUGGAUGGGGAUGGGGCGACGGCGGCGGCGGCCUUCUCUUGGUGCUUACUGAUGUGGUGGUCCUCGAUGCCGGCGACGGGUUGCAGCACGUAGACGCCAAAGGUUGCGGGUGUGACGGAGGAGCACCAUGGCGGGCGUGCAGGCCAUCUUUCCCUACCAAGUUAUCACUGCUACCCCACUGUAGUCCCUGGCAAGUACAUGUUGCUACCAAGGAAAAUAUGCUUUCUCAUCAAUUUUGCAGCAUGCAUUAGAAAGUUCAAAGUUUAUAUCCUUGAAUAAAUUUCUUCAUGAAGGUGCAUCAGGAUGACCAUCCACCAUUGUUUCUUCGAAAGCACGCGGCAGAGGCACCCACACCCGCGGUUCAGCAAGAUCUACAUCUCCAACGACUACACCAAGGACUGGGGCAUAUACGCCAUAUGUGCCUCUGUUGAAGCUCAGUUAACUCAUAUAGGUGUACUGUUUCAUAUGCUGGCAACCCACACGCUUUGAAACAAUCAAUUUCUAAUGAAUCAAUACCUGCAUUUGCAAAUUGUAUCCCAGUGUAACAUAUAGGAAGGAGGACAGAAGACGACUAUUUUCAAUUACAUGCCGGAGAAGGCUGCCGACAGAGAAGAGACGACAGCAGGAGCAGAGCCUCUCUCCUGCAAGGCCUUAGGCAUCUUCUUACAAUGCCCAUACAUAUUGCAUAUUCAUAUUACUAUUUUCCGACAAACUUGCCUUUUCAUGGCUGGCUCAAGGUCAUUUCGGAAGAAAAAUCCUACUAAAAUGUUUGUAUAGUUGGCAGUCCGGUGAUUCCAGCUUAUUUGUCUAAUUUGAUGUAGGAAAUGAAUUAUUUUGAGUUUGAGUUCUCAGUAAUGCUUGUUGCCUCCUGUUGUGAUUCUAGGUUGAACUUGCCAAGAUGCUACUAAAUAAGGGCAGGGGCACUUGUUUGAAUACUGGUCAGAACCCGGUGUUGAUGACGACAAAAAGAAAAGCUUCUUUGACAAGGUUUGCCGACUUAAUUCAAGCUAUCCUGUUGGACUGACAUCAUACCAAAAGGCUUUUGGCAGAUUCCAAGUCUAGACAAAAUCCAUACGAUGGUUUCACGCCUUCGGUUCUCUCGGGGGAAGUAUUGUCCUUCGGUGAUGACAAUUUUGUUUAAGCACACAAUGUUGCAUUUAUUCUUGUAGCUAGUGGGCUUGGCGAAAGACUUGGUUACAAAGGAAUUAAGGUUAUCAUUGGAAAGUCUAAAAGUUGCACAGGAAGAUCUCGGCAAAUACUUUAAGCCCCAAAGUAACAAAGGUGAGGACCUAAACUGGUGGUAGUGGUACUGGCCUACCUUUCCUUCAGGGAAUGACCAGCGGACCUGAAAGAUGGUAUCGGCAGUUUGAUAAUUGUAGCCCCAAUGGUGCUCUGAGCUCUUUGAACUCAGUCAAUGUGGGACCCUUUUGACAGGAAGUAUGGGAAAUAUUUCGUUGUUGCUGCAGUUAACCUAUGCUAAAAUGCUGGUGUUAAUAACCAUGAAUAAAGGCGCAAGCAUGGCAUUGGGCAUGAUUUAUGUAGUACAACGAUUGGGUGAGAGGGUUUAAUUUUCAUAUUUCUUUCAGACAAACAGAUGGAGAUUACAUGGUGAUGUGUGGGGCUUCCUUGGCCAACAACAGCUUGAGGUGGCAUGGGAAUGGAUCCUGUCAUCAUCCUUGGUGGACUCCCAAUAAAACCAGGAAUGACAAGGGAUGAUCUGUUCAACGAAAAUGCUAGGAUUGUUUGCUCAAUCUGUGAAGGCGUUGCCAAGAGUGUCCUAAUGCAAUUGUGAGUUUGAUCAGCAACCCUGUGAACUCAACCAUCCCCAUUGCUGCGCAGGUUUUCAAGAGAGCUGGAACUUAUUAUCCCAAGCGUCUCCUUGGAGUGACAACAUUUGAUGUGGCGAGGCCUAACACUUUUAUAUUACUUUUGGGACUAACCUAUUAACCGGAGGCCCAACCCAGAUUUGCUGUUUUAUGCCUAUUUCGGUGUUUUGAA